rnacentral:lncRNA from 1 species
GAUGGAUACUCCCUGCUGCCUGGCUGGUUCUCCUGAGAACUGGGAGCCUUUGACCUGGUGCUGACUUUCUGCAGCUUGAAUCCUGGUCCUGAAACAAGCCUCAGGUGGGCCUGGAGCAUGGGGCCUGUGCCGCUGCUUCUGGUGAUGUGAGCUGUCUGGGUGAGGAAGAGGUUCUUGAGCUGUGAUGCUCAGAGGCACUGUGGCAGCCCCAGCCCAGCCGCAUCCUUUUUAUGGGGGAUAAUGCAGAAAUGACUCGGUUUGUGGCAUUUUCCAAGAACCAAACAGAAUUAUGGGCUGGCUGUAAAUACCAUGGAGGCUGGAAGGGGCUCGGGAGCCAGGCGUGGGGAUUUGUGCUGGAGCACUGCGGGGAUGUCCCAUGCAGCACGGGGGGAGCAGGGGCAGAGCAAGCAGUCAGAGGGCUGGCAGGAGCCUCGCUGCCCCCAUCAGCUGGUGGGGGAAACAGACCCCUUUCCAGCAGUAUCUCACCGGUGGGUGAUGAUGGUGACUCGUGGACAGGGUGGAUGAUGUGCUCUGCAGCUUUCUCCCUGGGCGUCUGGCAGCUGCUUUAAGCCUGCAAUAGGCUGGGGGUGCCUCCCUAAUGAGGGCCAUGCGAGUGGCUGAGGUGGCGGCAGCCCCAAAAUGAGCAGGGUGGCCACUCCUCGCCUUAAGGCAGCAGCCAGCUUGUGUGAUCCUGAGUGACAGCAGAUGAAGGGAUUGCAUUACAGCUUGUCUCUAGAACUGUACAUCUGUGUCAGCUCUCUGCUAAAUCAAUAAACAGGAUGCUGAAGGAA